rnacentral:rRNA from 1 species
UGCCAGCCGCCGCGGUAAUACGGAGGGUGCAAGCGUUAAUCGGAAUUACUGGGCGUAAAGCGCGCGUAGGCGGCUUUGUAAGUCGGAUGUGAAAACUGGCAGCUUAACUGUCAGCCUGUUAUUAAUACUACCAAGCUUGAGUAUGGUCGAGGUGGGUGGAAUUCUACAUGUAGCGGUGAAAUGCAUAGAUAUGUAGAGGAACACCGAUAACGAAGGUAACUCACUAGGCUAUUACUGACGCUCAGGUACGAAAGUGUGGGGAGCAAACAGGAUUAGAUA